GCGGGACCCGGCGCUCUCGGCAAUACAGCUUCCGGUUGCAGAGCGGGGCCGGAAACGGAAGUUUUUGGAAAAGGAAGUGAUAUCAGCGGUCUGAUCACCGACCGCGGUAACCAGGGAACUCGGCUUCGUUCUGCUACCAAGGAAAACGACAUCAUGCGUCAGAGGCUACUGCCUUCAGGCGAUAGAAAGGGAGUGAGAGCAUCGAGACUCUGAGCAUUGUUGAUGGCACGCAAAAGCCGUCCACCUGGGAGCCGAGGAGAUGCCGCUGUCAGUGAGAUAAAUGUCUGGUUUGGUGAAAGCUCUGUGUCGGGGCCCCCCUAGCUCCAGAAACAGUGUCUCCUCCGCAGCAGAAGGUUGCAUCCAGGAGGAUGACUCCAGGUGCUGCGCUGGCAGAGGAAUUGUCCAGGAGCCCUACUCGGAGGAGAGACUCUCAGAAGUGGACCUGAUCACCCUGAACAUCCUUCUAAGCAGACAUGAACAGUCCUCAGCUUUCUCCCUCCUGCAUAAUUGGCUGUUUGGCAUUUCUGUGCCAAGUCUGCAGUGCAGAGUGGCUUUUUCGGAGGUUGUUGCAAGGGGUCUGUAGUGACUUGGUGUGGCUCCCCUCCUCCCCAGCAGAGGGAGUGCCCUUGCAGACACCCAAGUGGGCGGAGCCACCACCGCCUGUUCCCGCCCCCGGAAGUCAAGGGGCGGGACAGGAAGUAGAAAAGCUGGCAGCCGGAGCUCAGUCAGGGCCCAGCCACCACAGGGAGCAGACAUGCCGCCAGGAGCUCGCGACUAGGAAACCUCUGGGACCCGAGGCAGUUGCCCGGACUGGCCGGAGCUUCCCCGCGCCCGCUAUGAGGAGGAGCCGCCGGAGCCUCCCUGCGCCCGUUACUGGGAGGAGCCGUUGGAGCUUCCCCACGCCCACUACGAGGAGGAGCCGCUGGAGCCUCCCUGUCCCUGCUGUUACCCGGAGGAGCCGCCUGAGCCCGCCUGGCUGGACUUCCCUGAGGAGCUGCCGGACCUGCCACCAAGCCCCAGUCGAGAGGAACCUAUGCUGGUGGACUGGCCUGGGACUGAUACCAUGGACGAGUACCAAGAGAAAAGAAGUCACGUGUCAGAGUCUACUGUCCUCACACAAUGGAAAGCGAGCAAGAGUGACGAGACCACGAGCAUUGUUGAUGCGAUGCAAAAGCCGUCCAUCUGUGAGUGGAACCGCCACCACUCCCUGUGAGAUAAGUGUCUGGUUUGGUGGUUGCUCUGCUCACGGCCCACCUCCUGGUAGGGACACCCCGUUAGCUAGGGCUGGGUUUGUAAGAAAAGGUUCCUAACUAGUGGUUACGAGGGAGACAAGGUCCCCAUUUUCAGGGGCUGGUCAUUUUUCUGUCCACAAGCAGUGUGUCCUCUGCAGCAGAAGGUUGGA